CUUCACCGACCCCAGCCACAACGGACGCCCCUCCGCCCGGUCCUGGCCGUACGUGGCCAACAGCGCCUGCGCCUC
rnacentral:antisense_RNA from 2 species